rnacentral:rRNA from 1 species
UACGUAGGGCGCGAGCGUUGUCCGGAAUUAUUGGGCGUAAAGAGCUCGUAGGCGGCCAGUUGCGUCCGCUGUGAAAUCCCGGGGCUUAACCCCGGGCGUGCAGUGGAUACGGGCUGGCUGGAGGCAGGCAGGGGAGAACGGAAUUCCUGGUGUAGCGGUGAAAUGCGCAGAUAUCAGGAGGAACACCGGUGGCGAAGGCGGUUCUCUGGGCCUGUUCUGACGCUGAGGAGCGAAAGCGUGGGGAGCAAACAGG